rnacentral:lncRNA from 1 species
AGAAUGGAAAUGAUUUAGAAGGCACAUUAUCUUGGUUCCCGGGCUGGGUUCGCGAUCUAGGUUGUUUCUCUUUGUCAUGUCUGAGAACAGAUGGUGGAAGGAGGGGGGUUGGUUUCAACGCGGCAUGUUUCUCUCCUUGUGGUCGUGGACAUUGGUGGUGGCACGACGUUCUCAACGUUCAGAGGGGGUGGAGGUUGUCGAGUUGUGCUACCCGGGCUGCAUGAUCCUUGAGUUCCAAUCGGCUGGUGGUUGGGCCUAGUCCUAUUUAGGCCCAGGUUCGAUGGGUAUUUUAUAGGUUUUUUUUUUCUUUUUGUUUUUGGUUGUUUAGGUUUUUGGUGGUUGUUUUGGUUGGUUAGGUGUCCCUCUUUUAGCGAGGAUUUAGGGUUUUGGUAUGUUGGUAUCGGGUUGUGGGGUGUGUCAUGGUUAUGUUGUUGUUUUCAACGAUUAUUUUAACUUCAAUUAGUUCUUAUUGUCAAUGUAACGGGAAAGUUACCUGUUUUAGCCACAUCAGUAAAUCUGAGUAUGCAAAGUCUCUUUCAGUAGUUGUGGGCGUGCCACCGUGCGGACACGGAAAGUAGAGGUUGUAGUAGCGGGGUGCGCUUAGCCUUCUGCUUUUAAUCAAGUGACUGAGGAUGGAGAGAGCACCAACUCCACCGCAAGGUUCUUCAGAUUCGUCUUGCGUAUUGGGCAAGGACUUACAGUAGUCCGCCUGAGCGUCACAAUAUCGAUACUUGACGUAGGAUCGAGCAGAGCGUCAACUGGGAAGGAAGAAAAAAAAGACAAUGCUCCGGGGAGCGUACAGAGAAACGAAAGCAAAGCUCCGGGGAGCGUCUGGAAGUUCAAUUGUGUUGAGAGUUGUAUUGUAUUCACUACGUCUUUUUUGGCUUCAGACGACUUGGAUCAGACGACAGAAGACGUAUUUGCUGUCGUCUGAUACAUUUAGACGACACACAUUUAAAUAUAUGUCGUCUGAAUGUAGCAACUCACAGACAGCUUAAAUUAGCGUGUUCAUGAGAUGACAGACGUCUGUCGUCUUAAAACAACCCAAAAUUUGCAAUAUAAUGGUUUGAUCUAAGACGACACUCUUUUGUCGUCUUUAUAUUGACGUAAAUAUCUAAUAUUUUUUUGGUACAACGAAUGUCUUUUUUUGGACACUUUAUAGACCUAUCUUCCCGAUAAUUUGUUUGAAGUUCUCAAUUGAGUGAUUUUUCUCACAACUGAAACCUCUCUUCCUCUCUUCCUCACAAACCAAAUUCUCUCAUAUAUCUCAUUCUCAAACUGAUCGAAUCCUCUCUUCUAUAUCUAACCCUCAAACCAAUUCCUCUUAUCUUCGGAGACCCAUAUCUGAAAACCCCCAAUUUCAACCUCCCAAACCCUAAAAGCUCCAAACCCUCGCAAACCAUGUCCGCCGCCUAAACCACCACCCAGAAGAAGCGCGCAGCCGAGCCCGAGCUCAUCAAGUCGGCCAACCUCGAUCUCAACCUCUCCAUGUUCUUUUCCUCUAAUUCCUUCAUAUCUCUUGCUUUCGCUUACGGAAUCGGCUUUUGAUGUGUUCGAUUUGAAUUUUUUUGCAGUGAUAUCAAAGGAAUCAUGUCAGCGCUGCAACAGAUCCGAUAUAAGGCGCACAUGGACGACUUGAAGAUGAACGAAGAGGCCAUUUCCAAGUGAAAAUUCAAAACGUUUAGCUCUUGAUUUCACUAAAUCAGCUCAGAAAUUCAAAACUCUAUCUAUUUUUUGGAUUAUUUUUUGCUAAUAUAGUAUCAAAUUAGAAUUUGUGUUCACUUUUUCCCCUAGUUUUGAAGUUUCGUACUCAAAUUACAGAUUUCUUGUUUUUGUUUUUUUCCUUUCCCUGUGUUUAGAUUUUGAUUGAGUUGAUGAUGUUGAGUAACAUGAGUUCGUAAUUAUAGCUAGACAAUGAUCAUAUAAUGGGAUUGUUCAAUCUGAUAAAAAUAAUUUCAAAAGGCAUAAGUGCAUAACCUUCACCAUGAAAAUUUGAUGAUGUAGUUUCUAUUGUGGUCAAAUAACAUGUGUUUGGAGACCAUCCAACUCUAACAUACUAUAUCUCUCUAUCUAUCUCUCUAAAAUAUCUCUCUCUGGCUUCUAUAUAUAAAUGUUGGAGGAACAGCAAAUGAAGCUCUGAGGCAAAGGAAGAGAAUUGCUUGGCGUCUGUAACCAAUGAAUGUCAACAAAAAUUAUGUCUCUCUUCCAUCACUUUCUGCCAAUCCCCCUUUAGCCAUUUCAUUUUCUUUGUUUCUCUACCUUUAUUUAGCAGUCUCUUAGUUUCUUGUCUUAAUGCAGAUUCCAUCUCUGGUUUCAUGGUUGUCUCCAAUCAAGGUAAAAUCUAACACAGUCACUUUUCAAUUUUUUCUCUCUAUUUUCGCCUGUGGAUAUAAAAAACUCUUUCUUGCUUUCUCAGUUUGUUGUUUGAAUAUUAAAAUGAGAGUACUGUAAUGUAAUACAAAAUUGCAAAUUGAUUUGUUUAUUGAAGAAUUUUUGCUUUGUAUGUUUUCUUGUACUCUCUGUUAUUAGUUUCUACAUAUAUAUAUAUAUAUAUAUACACACACAUAUUGAGGUAUAUAUAAUGACUUGUAGUGAGGAACCAUGUUAAGAUUCUUGUAGAAAAAAUAGGAGAUAAUGUGUCCCUCUUUUAAUUGUAUAUAGGAUCUCAUUUCGUGCUUAUAAUGUGUGUGCAUGCUGGUGCCUUUUUGCUCAGCUGCAUUUUUAUGUGCAUUGUUAGUGUACUCGUAUAUCUUUACUUACUAUGUUAUUAAUAUGUUAUUAAUAGACUUGAGAAACUCCCCUAAAUUUCUGGAGAUGAUGAUAGUUUAUUUUAUUUUUGGUUUACAGGGUGCUGGUAAAUCAGCUGUUUUGAAAGCUUAAUCAGACUCCUUUUUAGGUAAGUACAAUUUACCAAUGUAUUUCAAUAUCCAAAUUAUAGCGGUUUUUAAUUUUAUUUUAUGGUUUCUUCCUCCAGCCAACUAGUGAGAAUGAUGCUACUCGAGCUCCAAUCAGCAUUGAUUUACAUAGGGGCAGCUCAUUGAGCAGCAAAUCAAUGAUAUUGCAGAUUGACAAUUAAUCCCAUCAAGUUUCUGCAAGUAAGUCACUUAAUGUAUGUUCUCAAUUUAAUUUAAUCAUGUUAUAGUGCUGUUUUUGUUUAGAAUCUUCUUAGAAUUUCAAGUCAAUACUACUGUGUUUUCACAUAUAGGGUUGUUUUGAUUUAGCUAUCAUUUAAACUCACUUCACAUCGUUCUUAAUGGAGUUUGUUUAUAGAUUAUUUCCAUGUCGAGCUGAAUCUUAAUUUAUUGUUUUGUAAAUACCAUCUUACAUUGCAAGUAUGUAAGAAUUAUAGCUGAAUUCCACUUUUCAUGAUUUAUAGUUUAUAUAAGGAUUUCAGGUGGUCCUAGUGAUAAGACUUGCAAUGCUUGAGAGGAGAACGCAGAUACUUUACAGAUACGUUGCAGGUGAUUACUUAGUAUUUUUUUAAAAGUAAACUAUUAAGCAUGAUUCUACCAUGCAGGUAAUGGACUCCAUGUACAUAUAUUGCACAUAUACCCAAAGGAUAAUGAUCAAACCCAAACCAAGGAUAAUGACCUCCUUUUUUGCAAGCAACCAAGGAAAAAAAAUCGAUAUUUUUGGCGAAAUAUCGCAGAAAAUUUCGUUUUUUCACACAGCGAAAUAUAUUUCUCACCCCAAAAUUUUUGGUCCGAAACUAUUGAUAUUUCGCGAUAUAUCGCUAUAUUUUCGAUAUCUGGCUGAAACUGUUGAAAUCACCCAAAAAAAUUUCCCAAAAGAGGCGACACCGCCGUCUGCUCCGCCGGCAGCCCAACUCCGGCCACCUCCAAUGCUCACUAAAAUUUGACACAAUCUUCCUCUCAACACGCACAACAACUUCCCUAACUAACACAAACACCAAUUCCAAGCCUAGAUAGGGUAAUCGAAUCAAAACAUUGAGCCCUAAAACUUCAACUCACCGAUUCUCCCUACUUAGAUCAAGAGGGAAUGAAACCUUUUAAGGUUUUGUUGUACUGGAGGAGAGCUUCCACACGAGACCAGCCGCGCCGUUUAUGGUGGCCGGAAAAGGCAGUUCCGACGACGACUCGGCCACUGUGCAGCCGCACCUUCUCGGUGCGAUUCAUCCCUCACGGCGACGCAACCCAACCAAUCACCUACCUAGACGUGAAGAGGAUGCUCCAAGCUUCAUUUCGACACCUAGCUCGCCCCCUAUCUCGGCCGGACGGAAGCGGACGGCGGUGAAGAAAAUCCGGCAGGGAGAGAGAGAGACUCGGGGAAGGAAGAAGAAGAGAGAGAGAGAAAAGAGAGUUUGGGCCUUCUCUCUCAAUUUUCCCAACCCAACUCCAAAAAUACCCAACACCAACAACAAUUCACCUUUUCACUAUCCAAAAAUACCCAACACCAACAGCACUAACCUUUUCACCUUUACUUACUACAACUCCCUAUAGAUCAAUGUUUAUUCAAGGUUUUCAUUUCAAAUAUAGUACAUAAUAUAGAAAACAAACAUCUCUUAAAGUUUGGUUUAAAAUUUCCUUGUUUUUCUUCAAAUUUCCGUCAAUUUUCUCAUUUUUUUACUGCAAUCGAUAUUUCCCCGAAAUUUUCAUAUUUUGGAGGGUCGAAAUUUCCGUAAUCACUGAAAUUUUCUUCCUUGCAUGCAACCAUAGUAAGCUCUUUGCACGCAAGUACUGCUAGCUUUUCGCAUGCAUACCUACUACGCAAGUCCUCCACCAAGCAAUUAAACACAGUUGACCAGUCAAUUUGGAUAACUUACGUUUCUUAUCCUUACGCGCGAAGUCCUUCUGUGCGAACUCAUACGCGAGCUCACCUCUUCGCAUGCAUCCAGUUCGCCAACAAUCCAUGUCUCAAUCUCCCACUCAUGCGAAGUCUCAUUGCAUGCGAACUUUGUCCAGCUCGCCCGCUAACUUCUGUCCAUAUAUGAGAAGGCCUGCAUGCGAACCACAUAUCUAGCUUGCAUGAAAUCAUAAGCGAGGUAACCCGCCUCUAAUCCCAACAUUAUUCGGGCUCGCCGAUGUGACAUGGACCAUGAAUUUAACCAAUAUUCACAUAGACAAUUACUGCCCAGUAAUAUUAAUUCUAGGUGUAAACAUUGCCCCCCAGCCUCGAAGUCAUGCUGCUCCAAAGCCACUGGUAUUGGCUCAGGUCAUACACAAAAAUGAGUGUGAGUAAACAAGCCACAGAAUAGGCCUUGAAACUCAAGUACCCAGCAACAAAGCACUGUAGCGAAGCUGCUGAAAUGAUUCAACUAAUACCAUAUUAAGCUGAUAAUCAUGAACUUAACAUAGCUAGGUACCUUGGACUUGAACUCAACAUGCGUUUCGCUUGCACUUCGCUUUCUCUACUCAGAAUACAUGGUACAUUGCACAUACCUCGAGUAGAUGUAUCUCUAAUGAAUGUAUCUUUAACUGAUGUACCUCGAGUGGAUAUAUUCGAAAAGGAAUCAUCUGACCUCGAAGGGAUGUAUCUCGCGAAGGGAUGUACCUUGAGUAGACGUUUGCUUUAACUGGAUUCAAAAUUGCCCUUCGCCUGAGCGCUUGACGAUGGCGAACCAUCUUUUUGACAUUGGCCAUGUACUUCGCUGCCCCCCAGUGCGAACCAAUAAGAGUCAAACAAAAAGACCAUGUCGGCGAACGGCCGCAUAAUCUUGAUUUUUUUUUUUGUAGAGGCCAUAGGCGUUGGCCUAAAUAAUGACCAAGACAUCUCAAGAAGGGUCUAAAGCCAGAAAUUUUUGACAUUGGCAUGUACUUCGCUGCCCCCCAAUGCGAACCAAUGAGAGUUAAACAAAAGGAUCAUGUCGGCGAACGGCCGCAUAAUCUUGAAAUUUUUUUUUGUUAGAGGCCACAUGUGUUGGCCUAAAUAAUGACCAAGCCAUCUCAAGAAUGGUCUAAAGUCUAAAAUAUUUGGAACACAUCUCUAUCCCAUAUGUGCCCCCUAGUUUUGAUGUCUGUUCGGUGAUACUUGAGAAUAAUGAAGGACAUCAAAACUUUAGUAUGUCCCCUAGUGAAGGAGUUGUAGUACCGUACAUCAUCAAAGUUAGCAAACAUUGAAAAAAUUUGUGGAUCGACCUUGAGUAGAUCCCGGUGUAUGAAUAAAGGUAUACAAAACUUAUAUGCCCCCAAUAAAGGAAAGCAUGCUGCAAGGUCAUGAAAACACAUUGCAAAUUCGCGCAUAUCCUGACCUGUCUGCAUUCAAACUGCCAUAACUCUCUCCAGGAAUGUCGGAAUGACGAACCGUAAAAUCCUAUAGAAACUAGACAUCCAGGGCUUUCUGUUGAUAUAAGGCUCGCCUGCUAGUUCUUCCUGGAUCAUUCCAGUUUAAUCUGCGAAGUUGACUGUCCAGUAGUGGCUGCUGCAACUUUCAGCAUUGCAAACAUUUCUUCAAUUCUCCUCUGACAUUGACUUCGCUGGCAGUAACUCCAAGGCAUGUGGAAUGCCUGUUGGCUUUAAGCCUUUGGGAUAGGCCCCUAAGUAAAGUUUAAGCCUUUUGUAGGCAAAAACGUUGUCUUGCAUUUCAGCAAAACUAAGGAUCUCUUUUUGUAUUUUCUGCUAUUUGAUUUUUUUUGUAUUUUCUUUUUUCAAUGCAAGAAAGAAAGAAAAAUGAAAGCAAACUGAAGUAAAGCUAAGAGUAAAGGAAAGAAGAGAGUACAACAUGGUUAGUUACCCUUCGUAAGGCUACGGGGGAGGCCACCAAUGCUUCACUCCAAGUCUCGACGAUGUUAUGUUUCUGGCAUGAGACUCUUGUUGUUGAGAAUUUCUAAAUGUUGAGCAGAGCUGUUUCGCGUCAAGAACUUGAAAAUUUGGGCAAGGUAGUUCGUAAAGUACAUCUCGUUGCCCCCCACAUAUCCUUGUCUUUUGACCAAACAGGAUCUUCGAUUGCAUUCUCGCGUACCAUAUGCUGUCGAGAUCAGCCUUGUUGCCAACUAUCAUGUCAUAAUACAUGGUCUUAUCAGGUAUAGCCACGCAUUGGUUAUGGAAGAGGACCAUAUUAGGAGCUUCACUGGUCCUAAACUCUUGCGGAGUAUGAUUAUCUGACAGACGGACCAACAUAUAGUCUACAUCAUAUUCAUCAUAAAUUGGCUCUGUGUCAAAAUCAAAUUCGGAGUCAUCACAACCCAACAAAUCCACCUUUGCCUCUGAUGCAGUCAUAUGAAAUCCAUGAGCAUCAUGUGUAGAUGCCGCCAAGUCCCUACUGCAGACUAGAGUGAGAUAGCACUGAGAAUACUCGACUUUACACCCAUGUAUAAUAAACUUGCAAUUCUAGGUGUAAAAACGUUUCCCACAUACAAUACUAAAGCCAUAAUUUGGCCUUUGAACUUGCAUGCAAAGACUCCAAAUAUAUUGGAAUGUGAAGCCACAGAUUGGCCUAGGUAUACCACCAUACCAUAUAUAAUUAAGCUUGUCAUGACUUGGGGCAGCUUCCUGAUAACGUCCAGUAAUUGGACAAAACUUGAGUUGAUCAUGCCCCUGAUCAUGGUGGUUAAUUAAAGAAUGAAGGCGAGCUACGCUUUGCCCCCCAUGCAUCUGACCUGUGUCCACAUAUACAUCUCGCAUAGGAAAGUUGGCUCCUUGGUCACCUUUCAUGUGAAAUUGUGGUUCGCCAUCAUCAGUGUUCGAACUAAUUUCUUCUUCUAAGAUGGAUUGUUCUGUCCUAUCUUCAAGCUCCUUUGUUUGAGGAACACCGUCAGUUUUUGAGAUAGGACUAUCAUCCAAAAUCUCGCCAGCCUCGACCUCAGGUUCUUCAUCAUUGAUUGACAAAAUAAUUUCUUCUUUGGACGUAGGUUCGUCCAAAGGAAAACCUUUGCCAUUAGAAUAGCUGCUAGGCAGUUCAAUCUUUUUGGCAAGGACAUGCUCGUCAACUGUAGGCCUUACAUUUUGGCAUUGUAAAGUCUUUUCGUUUUUUUCAGCAGCCUCAAGCUCACAAUGUCGCUUGAGGAUGGCAUCCCAUUUCUCUUUAUAAGCAACCCAUUCCUCUUUUUAACCGUGCCAAUCCAUUAUCGCCUCUUUGUUUCCGAUCUCCGAUCCCAAUGAAGGUAACGUCAGAGACUACCCUGGUCCCACUGGGCGUGCCAAUGUUUUGGCCACACUAGUAAGUCUGGGUAUGCAAAGUCUCUUUUAGUAGUUGCUGGCGUGACACCGCGUGGACGCCGAAAGUAGAGGUUGUAGUAGCGGGGUGCGCUUAGCCUUCUAGUUCUAAUCAAGCGACUAAGGAUGGAGAGAGCACCAACUCCACCGCAGGGUUCUUCAGAUUCGCCUUGCGUACUGGGCAAGGACUUUACAGUAGUUCGCUUGAGCAUCACAAUAUUGAUACUCAACGUAGGAUCGAGCAGAGCUUCAACUAGGAAGGAAGAAAAAAAAGACAAUGCUCCGGGGAGCGUAUAGAGAAACGAAAGUAAAGCUUCGGGGAGUGUCUGGAGGUUCAACUGUGUUGAGAGUUGUAUUGUAUUUUUGUUGAGUUGUUGAGUGUGUCUGUAGAAUAUCCUCGAACUCCUUUAUAUAGAGUUAUUUAGGGCCACAAGUAUUGGCCCAAAACAUGUCAAUGACUUGUAGAAGUCUUCAAUGUUAAUAUCGUAGGCAAUGAUACUAACCGCCUCUUGAUACGAUAAUAGAGAUGUACUGGACGUAAACGAUUCUUAGGCAGUUAUGUUUCCUAGCGAAUGAUAUUCCAUAGAGAUAAGCAUCCAUGUUAAUCCAUUAAGAAGUAGACUUUGUAAUUAGUCCAACUCCUCAGACUUCGCCAUGCACGUAUUGAUGAUCAAACCCAAACCAAGGAUAAUGACCUCCUUUUUCGCAUGCAACCAUAGUAAGCUCUUCGCACGCAAAUACUGCUAGCUUUUCGCAUGCAUACCUACUUCGCAAGUCCUCCACCAAGCAAUUAAACACAGUUAACUAGUCAAAUUGGAUAACUUACGUUUCUUAUCCUUACGCGCGAAGUCCUUCUGUGCGAACUCAUGCGCGAGCUCACCUCUUCGCAUGCAUCUAUUUCGCCAACAAUCCAUGUCUCAAUCUUCCACUCAUGUGAAGUCUCAUUGCAUGCGAACUUUGUCCAGCUCGCCCGCCAACUUCUGUCCAUAUAUGAGAAGGCAUGCAUGCAAACCACAUAUCUAGCUUGCAUGAAAUCAUAGGCGAGGUAACCCGCCUCUAAUCCCAACAUUAUUCGGGCUCGCCGGUGUGACAUGGACCAUAUAUGAGAAGGCCUGCAUGCGAACCACAUAUCUAGCUUGCAUGAAAUCAUAGGCGAGGUAACCCGUCUCUAAUCCCAACAUUAUUCGGGCUCGCCGGUGUGACAUGGACCAUGAAUUUAACUAAUAUUCACAUAGACAAUUACUGCCCAAUAAAAUAUUAAUUCUAGGUGUAAACAUUACCUAUGCAUACAUGCUAGUAGUUUUGGCAUAUAAUGUUUGAAGAGGUUGUUUCUUCUUAAGGUUGAUUGUAAGGAUGUAUCGAGACUUUUGGAUUAUGUUAGGUUAUGGUUGAACCCCUAUCGGUUCUUGUCCACUGUAAUCGUUAGUGUUUUGGGUAGGUAGGAAGGAGAGUGGGGAAUUUAUUUCUACCACCGACAUCACUCAUGGUUGUAAUAUAUUGUAUUCCCAUUUAAUGAAAUUCUUGAUAUUUUGCCUAAAAAAAAAACAGGGGGAGAGUUACAAAUUUUUUUUUUUUUUUCAUGUAACAAAAAUUCGAAAAUUAUAUAUCCAAGACUAACAGAGAAAACCAUUAAUUUGAUGUUCAAUCUAAUUCUAAUUUUGAUCAUGCCUAGCUAGGGA